rnacentral:rRNA from 1 species
UACGGGGGGGGCAAGCGUUGUUCGGAAUUACUGGGCGUAAAGGGCUCGUAGGCGGUUUGUCGCGUCUGCUGUGAAAACUCGGGGCUUAACUCCGGGCCUGCAGUGGGUACGGGCAGACUAGAGUGCGGUAGGGGAGACUGGAAUUCCUGGUGUAGCGGUGAAAUGCGCAGAUAUCAGGAGGAACACCGGUGGCGAAGGCGGGUCUCUGGGCAGUAACUGACGCUGAGACGCGAAAAGCGUGGGGAGCAAACAGG